rnacentral:rRNA from 1 species
CGGACGGGUGAGUAAUGCGUAGGAAUCUACCUUCAAGUGGGGGAUAGCCCGGAGAAAUCCGGAUUAAUACCGCAUGUUCUCUACGGAGAAAAGCGGGCCUCUGAUUCAAGCUCGCGCUUGGGGAUGAGCCUACGUCGGAUUAGCUAGUUGGUGGGGUAAAGGCCUACCAAGGCGACGAUCCGUAGCUGGUUUGAGAGGAUGACCAGCCACACUGGGACUGAGACACGGCCCAG